AUACGAAGUCUUGACUUGUUCGUCUUGAAAGAUCCAAUGCAGCUCCAGUACAUGUAAUUAGUCUCGUCAAGUGAUCAAGAGACUUUUGAUCACUUGAACAAACAGAGGGAACAAACACACAUCAAAGGACUUAGUUGAUCAAAGAAUACUUUGAUCAACUUAAUCAAUCAGGAUAAAAUUUCAGUUGUAAAUCAAGCACAAGGAUUCAUGACCUAAAUUCUAAGGAAGAGCAAAGUGUCAUAAUGCACAUACUUCUACAAAGUUAAACUAUAAUGCACAUGCUUCUACAAAGUUAAACUAGAACUAAGAGGAACAAAACAUGUUAUUGGUUAGAAUCUAAUCAAAAUCAAACCUAAACAUUUUAUGGUUAAUUUCUAUCUAAUGUCUUAUCAUUUUUAAUUUAUAAAAUGAAUUAAAUGAAAAAACAAUUAACCUACAUAUCUAAGUAUAUUAUUUAUGGUUAAUUUCUAUCUAAUGUCUUAUCAUUGUCCAUUUCACGUGUUUUCACUUUUAGCCUGAGUUCUUAGCUCCGCUGCACCGGAAAUUAUCUCCUGCAGCGGCGGAGGGCCAAACACCACAAACCGUACACCAUCUUACUCACCUUGUCCCCCUCUAUCUCAAUAUCCUAUAAUUUUUCUCAGAUUUUCAACCAAAUGUUCAAACCGAGCCAAUAACUACAUGAACCCUAUAUCCCUAAUUCAUAAAUUAAACGUUAAAAUGGAGGAAUCAAAGCCUAAUUCCUUAGGGCUUUGAUUUCUCAGGUUCUAGAUCACAUUAUGGUAACUAGAAUUAGGGCAAAAUGAAAGAAGAAUUGAGAGAUCCUUCCUACGAGGAUGUGUUGCUUCGAAGCAAAUGAAGAUGAUGUACUCAAGAUUCACACACAUGGGAAGGCUUGGCACGACAUUUAAUCUUGGAAUGAUGUUUGAAAGGUUAAGCAUGGCAUAAUACUUGAAGGCAAUAUGGAGCAUGGAUGGAUAAUCAUGAGUUUGAAGAUGAAUAAUGCUCGAGGAUUAGUGGGAACUAGGUCUAGGGCUAGAGAGUUGACUUUGAUCAAAUGGUUGACCAAAAAGUCAACAGUUGACCAAAGUUUACUAUAGGUCAAAAAUGCAUUUUUUGUAGGUUUUGAUUUUUGUAAAGAUUUGUAAUGUAAUAUGAACCUUGGUGACUUUGUAAUGAAAAAGAAUUCGUAUGA